rnacentral:rRNA from 1 species
AAGUGGUAGCAAUACCAUGAGUAAAGUGGCGCACGGGUGAGUAACACGUGACUAACCUACCCUGGAGUGGGGAAUAACUGAGGGAAACCUCAGCUAAUACCGCAUAACACCUACGGGUCAAAGGAGCAAUUCGCUUUGGGAGGGGGUCGCGGCCGAUUAGUUAGUUGGCGGGGUAACGGCCCACCAAGACGAUGAUCGGUAUCCGGCCUGAGAGGGCGCACGGACACACUGGAACUGAAACACGGUCCAGACUCCUACGGGAGGCAGCAGUGGGGAAUUUUGCGCAAUGGGGGAAACCCUGACGCAGCAACGCCGCGUGGAGGAUGAAGUCCUUCGGG